UACGAAGGGGGCUAGCGUUGUUCGGAAUUACUGGGCGUAAAGCGCGCGCAGGCGGUCUUCCAAGUCAGUGGUGAAAGCCCGGAGCUCAACUCCGGAACUGCCAUUGAAACUGUGAGACUUGAGGAUGAGAGAGGUGAGUGGAAUUCCCAGUGUAGAGGUGAAAUUCGUGGAUAUUGGGAAGAACACCGGUGGCGAAGGCGGCUCACUGGCUCAUUUCUGACGCUCAGGCGCGACAGCGUGGGGAUCAAACAGG
rnacentral:rRNA from 1 species